AUAUUAUGAUGAUAUUCCACUUUAUGGUCCAUGUUUCUGAAACACAGGAUGGAAGUUCUGAUUUA
rnacentral:snoRNA from 1 species